CGACAAAAAUAUUUUAAAAUAUAGCUUCAAAAAAUAGAAUUAUUUCUAUAAACAAAAUUUUAGAUCUACACCAUGAGUAUGACCAUGAAAUUGAAAGUUGUCAUCGAUCUUCCUGAUGUCCAAGAGUUAACGGACGAAGAUUCUUGUGACAAAUAUAAAGAAUACUUGCCUUCAAAUUUGUCCGGUAUACAACUUCUGCCCGGGAAAUAUUCUUAUACUGAAGAAAUUAUGAUAUUUUGAUAAAAGAUAAAUAGUCCCAUUCCCACUUUUUUCUUCAACAAAACUAUAUCAAAGAAAUUUAAUUGAAAAAAAGAAAACCAAUUUAACAAAUAUUGUAUCAUUAUUUUCAACUAUAAAUUCGACUCUACCGAAAGGAUUACUCCCUUUAAGUGUUUUUGAACACUUUUUUAAUAAUGAAUUGCUAACCAUAAUUGUGGAACAAUCAAAUUUAUAUGCACAUCAAAAGAAUAUAUACGGAGAACCCAUUACUAAAAAAGAACUAAAAGUAUUCAGGGGAAUUUUGAUUAUAUCUGGUUACAACGCCCUUCAUAUUAAAUCAAGCUAUUGGAAGAAAUGUGUCAUUUUAAUAUCUAUUAUUCAAGGAGAAUAAAUCGUUUCAUUUGUA
rnacentral:lncRNA from 1 species